CAAUAUGUAAGAGCAUGUUUGUAAAGGAAUACAUACAUACAUACAUAAAUACAUAUAUAAAUACAUACAUAAAUUUUUAUCUCCAAAAAUAUUUACAUUACAAUUUAUAACAGUAGUAAGAUCAUAGUUAUAAAGUAGCAGUGAAAAUAAUUUUAUAGUUGGGGGGGUCAACCACAGCAUGACGAACUGUAUUAAAGAGUCAUAGCAUUAGGAAGGUUGAGAACCACUGCUCUAGAAUAAUCAAAAAGAAUGAAAUCUUGCACAACUUUUGUAAAUUAAAGCAGCUUACUCAUAAAGCUGUCUUAAGACAGAUACAAAUAGCUAGUCUAGUUAGAGGAAACUGUUCUAAAACUGACCUUGGACUGAAUCUUUGUAGAGCUUGAGACAAGACUGAAGAUGGCCUUUGGUGUUAUUACUAAGGCUUUGACUUAUGGCUAGCUCACAGAAAACACAGAAAUAUUUGAAUAUUGGAAUACAAUCCUUUAAAUAAUGGAUCAGAAUUCUACAGAAUUUCUCUAAGGGACCAAUUCAGCUACUAGGCAGAGGCACAGGAUUCUCAUAGAUGUUCCUAUAUAUGCAACUGGGACUGACUUAAAUCCACCUUCAUUCCUGCUGUGGAAAGAUAUGAAAAUACUAAGCCACAAUUCUGUAUGCAGGCACAUACCUGUGUCUCCUCAAGAGUGGCACCAAUUCUUUCCAGGCGUCAACCUUAUGUUCAUCAGCAUCUUUGUCUUUGCACCCGGGGGUGAGCUGUGGCUGACAUCACACACAACCCCACUGCACCAGGGGGUGAGCUGUGUCUGACAUCACACACAACCCUACUUACUGCAUCAGGGACUGAGCUGUGUGUGGCUGACAUAACACACAGCCCUACUGCAUCAGGGGGUGAGCUGUGGCUGACAUCACACAUAGCUCCACUGCACUAGGGGUGGCUGACAUCAGAAACAGCUCUAUUGUACCAGGGGCUGAGCUGUGGCUGAUAACACACACCGCCCUACUGCAUCAGGGACUGAGCUUUUGGUAAUGUUGCAUUCAUUUUUAACCUCUGUGAUGUUGGUCAAUAGCUGCUGGUCCCAUCUGUUUUCCCAUUGCUCUUCAGUUCCUGCUCCGUGACUCUUGCCACGUCCCCCUACCAGUUCACAUUCCACACAGGAGUAUGUGUGUGGAAACUUCCUACUUGAGGUGAGAGUAAAUCUCUGUGAGUAAAUAUUUCUAUAGCCCAGGGCCUUGUCCUGGGCUUCCCCACACCCCUUUCUGUUCUCUGGCACUCAGGGAAUGCUUGCCUUAAGGGCAUCAGGAAAUCAUUGCCUAACUCUUGCCUAGUGUAAUCAUUCCAGGAAGAGACUCUGGUAUCCCUCCCUUAGGCUAUUGGACUGUUAAAACAAUGAUUCCCCACUGGUUGACUUUUCCCCUAGGAAUGUCAUGAUGAGCAAUGGAAAAAGCAGAGACCUGGUACCAGGCAGAGGGGAGAUAUUCAAGGCAGUUCUGCCACUUUGUAGGCCACCCUGUAAGAGAGGUUGGAGCUGAGGCCCAGGUGGUGAAGGAACUACAUCUUGACCAGGACUGCUUAGUUACGCAUGCCCCUCACCUUCUACUUAACCCUCGGCCCAGAAUCUUUGUUCCUCUUCCUAGUGUGGCUAUACUGGUUUCCAUUUUUGGAUUUUCUCUAUUGUCUGCCUAAUUGGCCUACAGAGGAUGGGUGACCCAGCCUAGCUUGUUGGGGGCCAGGCUUUGACUCUAACCCAGUAAUAAUGCUUUCCUCUCUCCUCAUGCAGCCAUUGCCCAUGUUCUCUUCAGUUCUCCAAUACAAUGCCAUGUGGAACAGUGGGUCCUGUACCCGAGGCUGCUGUCCUGCAGGGGCUUGUGGCUUGAACUUUGCUCAUUUGUAUGAUGCCUGAGUCUCCGUGGGUGGGGGAGCUCAUGUAGCCCUCUGAUUCUUGCAUUUUGGACACUAGAGAGUAUGUUCCAGGGAUCCUGCACUGGGUGAAGCACCCUCAGAUUCUUAGGGUCCCAGUAGUAAUGAUACCACUCACUCCCCCUCACUCCUCCUAAACUUUGAUCCUGGUCUCCAAAAGUCUGCGAUAGGACCGGGUGCUGGCUGGAGAGGCUAACUGUUUCUGGUGGGAAUUUCUUUGGGGCUUCCUGGGAGGCUGUGUGACCUCAGACAAGGUACUUCAUCUCCAUCUCCCCAGCUUCCUAGUCAGCACAGUGGGUGUGUUUACACUGCACUAGGCUUGCAUGAGGUGAUCUAUGCUUUGUACCUAUGUCCUAUGUAAUACAUCACAAGCAUUACUGGUUUUAGCUGUGCAGUUAAGGAAUGUCCUAGCAAAGACACAUGUAUGUGCACACACACAUUGAUGCUUCCAUACCUGCAUGUUGACACACACCCACAUACAGAAUUAUAGUAGGUGGGAAGGAGAAAUGGAAGUUUACAGAGGGCGUUAUCCCAGAAACCUAGAGACUCCAGCUCUAGCCCUCACACUGAGGAUAAACAUGACCCUUGUCCAUGUGUCUGUCCUCUUCUUUAAGAUGAUGCAGUUAGAGGAGAUGUCUGCUAGGCAUUUUACUUCUGUGUUCUAGGUGCAGACUCACUACAGAGCCUGUAAGGCUAAACACCAGAUUUGGAGGCUGGGUUUACAAAUUUCACUUACACUGGCUUUGGGGACAGGUGGAUGGAGUUUGCUCUUUGAUUCUGCAUAUGUUACGACUCUGUGUGACCUCAGACACAGACCUUCAUCUUCAUCACUCUGAUUUCUUAUCUUCACAGUGGGAGUAUUUAUACCGUACUAGACUUUUGUGAGGCAACUUAGCUGCGCCCAUGCCUUACACUUGAUAGGGGUAUUGGUGUUAGUUCAUCGCAUAAUAACUGGAGGGUGAAAUGAGUUUUUUUUGUUUUUGUUUUUGUUUUUGUUUUUUUUAACUCCAGUUCCCACUGAGGAGCUGGAAGUCAUUGGGCAGGAAUGUUUGUAGCCCCUUACUCUGUCAUCUUUUCGUCGUACACAGCUCAGGGAGAAGAAGAGUGAGAAGGUACUGGGAGGUUCACUCCAUGGGAGUGAUGUGGUUUCAUUUGCUUGGACUUUCAAAUGUGCUGCACCAGGGACCUCCAGCCUUGUAACAAAGUAAACCAGAACAAAUCAUCACUGUUUUUUUUUUUUUUUUUUUUGAGACAGGGUCUUAUUAUGUAAUCCUUGUCUAUCCUGGAACUUUCUAUGUAGAUCAGGCUAGGCUGGCCUAGGACCUCAGAGAUCGGUCUCUUCUCCAGAGUGAUGGGAUUAAAGGCAUGCACCACCACACUUGGCUAUACUUCCCCUUUUUGACUAAGUUUUCAGGAUCUAACCCUUGUUUUUUAUUUAUGGCUAAUUUUAAUUGGAAGUUACAGAAAUGUUAAACAUCAUAAAGCUAGAUAACACAAGCACUGGACACUCUGGGUUUUGCCUGUGGAUAUCUUACCAGGCCGCAGUGAACACCAGAUGAGGAUCAGGAAGACGACUGAGUUUGGUUCCCAGCACCCACAUAGAGGUUUACAGCCUCCCACAACUCCAGCUGCAGUGAAUUCAGCGCCGUCUUCUGAUCCCUGAGGGCACCAUGCACACACAUGGUACACAGACAUACAUGCAGGCAAAACACUCACACACAUAAAAUAAAUAAAAAGACAAGAAAUACCACUUUGUGGUAAUAUUUUAUGUACCAUUUUCAUCACUGUAUGACCAAUGUAUCAAAUAUAUAUAAACAUUAAAAAUUUAUCUAUGUCCUUAUGUGUAUGAGUGUUCUAUCUGCAGGUAUGCCUAUGCGCCAGAAGAGGACAUCAAAUCCCAUUAUUGAUGACUGUGAGCAGCCAUGUGGUUGCUGGGACUUGAAUUCAGGACCUCUGGAAGAGCAGCUGGUGCUCUUAACUGCUGAGCCACAAAACCAACGAAAACACAAGUAAUUCUUCAAAUUCACCCCGCUCAGCCUGUCAUUGUUAAUACUUUGGUUUGUAUGUAUCUUUCUACCAGAAGAAGUUUUAUAUUGAAAAUUUAAUGUUUUCAUUAUAUAGCAAUGUAUCCCAAACAUUUCUCCAUGCCAGUAAAUAAACUUUUAAGCCAGAUGUUGUGACAUGGCUACAAUCUCAGCAUUUCAGAUGCUCAGACAGGGUAUCAUGAGUUAGAGGCCAGCCUGGACUAUCUCAAUAAACAAACAAACAAACAACACCAAAAAUAUAAAUAUUCUCUACUAAAAAGAAAAAAACCCAAACAUGAAAAUCCUUUAAAAAGUGGUGUGUGUGUGUGUGUGUGUGUGUGUGUGUGUGUGUAUGUGUGCGCGUGCAUGUGUGCACACACAUUUGGAAGUCAGCAUUGGAUGCUUUUCUCAAUUACUUUUCAAGCUGUUUUUUGAAGCAGGUUCUCUCGCUGAACUUGGGCACAUAGAUUUGGCUCUACCGACUGUCCAGCAGGCUCCUGGGAUUUACCUAUCUCUGCCUUCUCAAUGCUGAAAUUACAGGUGUACCCCUGUGUUUUGCUUUUUAUAGUUUCCUUUCUUCUGUUAUAUGUGUGGUGAGGAUCUGAAUGUAGUCCAUCAUGAUUGCAAGGCAAGCACUUUAUUGACUGAGCUUAGCUCCCAAUCUUCCCUGUCAUUCUCCAUAUCACACUGACACCCCCCAAGAAAACCUUCUGAAGGGCAACAUUUCAUUUUAGAAGAGUUUUUUCAACAUAAUAUUUUUAUUGAUGAUUUGGGAAUUUCACAUAACAUAUUCCAAUCAUACUUACUUUCCGGUUCUCCUAGGUCCACUAUUUCUUUGUGACCUUCUCCCAGAAAAAAAAAAAAAAAAAAAAAAGAAAAAGGAAAGAAAAAAAAUACCCAGGUCCAUUUUGUGUUGCCUGUGUACUCACUGGAGCAUGACCAAAUUUCCAGUAGCCAACCCCUUAAAGAGAACAGAGUCCUUCCUCACUCCCUCCCCCCAGCAGAAGCCAGCAACUGUGAAGUUUCCCUAUCUUGUGAUACCACUAAAGAUUAAGAGUUCUUUUCAAUCGCUUCCUGUCUAGACAACUUUUCUCCCCCCUUUGUGUGUGUAUGUGAAGGGUGAUGGGGGAGAGGUUGUUACAGAAGCCUUCUAUAUCUCCCACAAAGUAGUUUUUAACUCACAAGAAAACUGUUAAGAUAGCAUCUAGAAUUCCCAUUUACUAAACCCUAUUUUUACUCUAUGAGUGACACUUGAAAUUAAUGUGGCAUGUUAGUCACUAUUAGUAAACUGCCACAUAAUGUUUAACUAAAGUCCACAUUUUGUUCAGAUUUCCUAAGUUUAAAAAUUAUUUUAUGUCUUGUGUGUAUGGGUGUUUUGCUUUCGUAGAUGUCUGUGCACCAUGCCCAUGGCUGUGAACUCAGAAGCCAGAGGAGGGCAUUAGAUCCCCUAGGACUGGAGUUACAGAUGGUUGUGAGCUGUCAUGUGACUGCACAGCCUUUGGAAGAGCAGCCUGUGCUCUUAACCACAGAUCCAUCGCUCCAGGCCCCAAGAUUUCUUACUUCUCACUUAACAUCUAAGACUCAACCCAAGACAGCACAUUCCAUUUAGCUGUCACAUUUCCUUAGUUUCUCAGAUUGUCUAUUUUGGUGACUUUGACAGCCGUGGGGAACACUGGGUAGGUACCCUGAGGGUAUCUAUACCUUCUAUCAGAGUCUGUGUGAUACUUUCCUCAUGGUGGAGACUGUGAAGAAAGGCUCAGAGAUGAUGUUUUCAUCAUAUUCCAUUAAAGAUAUGAACUUCUGCCUUUUACCAGUGUUGAUGUUGUUUGGUCACUUGGCUGAGGUGGUGUUGGCCAAAUUAUUCUAUGGUGUACAGUUCUUUCCUCACUUCUAGAAAUUUGGUACACAAACCCCACACUUAAGGAUUACAGACUUGUUCACCACUUUGAGGUAGAGACCAGGGCUAUAUUGCAUAUUUUUUCAGUUGCUAGUUAGUUUUGUUUGUUUGUUUGUUUGUUAACUUGACAUAAGCUAGAAGAGGAAACUGUAAUUGAGAAAAUGACUCAAUGACUACAUGGCUUGAAUGCAAAGCUGUGUGACAUUUUCUUAACUAGUGAUUGAUGUGGUAUGAUGAAGUCCACUAUGGAUGCUGUCAUACCUGGACAGGUGGUCCUGGGUUGUAUAAAAACCAGGCUGAGCAAGCUAUGGGAAGUUAGCCAGUAAGCAGCAUUUCUCUGUGGCCUCUGCUUUAGUUUAUGUUUGAGUUCCUGUUCUGAUUUCCCUCAGUGAUGGAGUGUGACUUGAGGGUUGUAAGAUGAAAUAAACCACUUUUUCCCUAAGUUGUUUUUGGUCAUGGAGUUUUAUCACAGCAAUAGAAACUCUAUCUAUGACAGAGAGCAGGCCAGGUGAUGGUGGUGCAUGCCUUUAAUCCCAGUAUUUGGGAGGCAGAGGCAGACCUGGUCUACAGAGUUCCAGGAUACUAGGAAUUGUCUGAUUCUGUCUUGAAACUCAAAAAACUGUUUUAGUUAGGAUCUCUAUCCCUGCACAAAACAUCAUGACUAAGAAGCAAGUUGGAGAGAAAAGGGUUUAUUUGACUUACACUUCCACAUUGCUGUUCAUCAUCAAAGGAAGUCAGGACUGGAACUCACACACUGCAGGAAGCUGGAUGCAGGAACUGAUGCAGAGGCCAUGGAGGGAUGCUGUUUACUGGAUUGCUUCCCAUAGUUUGCUCAGCUUGCUUUCUUAUAGAACUCAGGACUGCCAACAGGGGAUGGCACCAUCCACAAUAGGCCCUUCCCCCUUGAUCACUAAUUGAGAAAACGCCUUACAGAUGGAUCGCAUGGAGGUAUUUCCUCAAGGGAGGCUCAUUUCACUGUGAUAACUCCAGCCUGUGUCAAGUUGACACACAAAGCCAGCCAGUACAAAAACCCAAACCCAAUCCAAACCAAAACAAAAAAAGAUAGAAGACAAACUAGUACCUAAGUUAUUUGGAUUUAAUAAAAAGGCAGUCUCUUGCUCUGUAGAGCAGUCUUCCUCCUUCAGCCUCCCAAAUACUAGAAUUAUAGGGGUGAGUUACUAUGUCCAGCUUGGAAUUUCUUUUCAAGACAGAGUUUCUCUGUGCAGCCCUGACUGUCCUGGAAUGCUCAGUCGACGAUGCUGGUCUCGAACUCACAGAGAUCCACCUGCUUCUGCCUCCCAAGUAUUGGGGUUAAAGGUGUGCACCAUCAGGUCUGGCUCCAGCUUGGAAUUCUUACAUAGUCAAAAUAUUUAUUAUUAUUAUUAUUAUCAUUUCAUAACACUUUUGUUCAAACUUGCAAAAAUAAUAAAAUAGUUCCACA
rnacentral:lncRNA from 1 species